rnacentral:rRNA from 1 species
GCACAGCAGUCGAGAACCCUCGCAAUGCGGGAAACCGCGACGAGGGGACUCCCAGUGCCUACGCUCAGCGUAGGCUGUUCCCGAGCCUAGAAAGCUCGGGGAGUAAGGGCUGGGUAAGACGGGUGCCAGCCGCCGCGGUAAUACCCGCAGCCCGAGUGGUGGCCACUAUUAUUGGGCCUAAAGCGUCCGUAGCCGGCCCGGUAAAUGCCUGGGUAAAUCGUGAGGCCUAACCUCACGAAUUCCGGGUAGACUGCCGGGCUAGGGACCGGAGGAGGGAGAGGGUACUCCAGGGGUAGGGGUGAAAUCCUGUAAUCCCUGGAGGACCACCGGUGGCGAAGGCGCUCUCCUAGGACGGGUCCGACGGUGAGGGACGAAAGCCAGGGGAGCGAACCGGAUUAGAUACCCGCGUAGU